GCACAUCGAUAGAAUUCGAUUCGAGAUCGGAAACAAGUUGUUGAAUCAAUUCAUCGGAGUUAUAAUUAUCCGACGCACAUGCAAUUAAUAACCGCCGGCUUUGAGAAGAAGUCGUCGGAAACUCACCGGAUCUAUCGCUAUUGCAGUCGCUGAAAGCAGACGAAGAUUCAUUAAUUCCGAGACCGGUAUUUAAUGUCUCCGGCGAGUUUUCAAAGGUUUGCCGUUGUUAUCGGAAAAUGAGAGGUGAUAGCUGAAACGACGGCGUUUGGUUGUUGGAGUUUGAUUUGGGCCUAGUGUGUUAAUGGGCUUUUUGAGAAGAAUUUGAAGAAAAUGGAAAUGGAAGAUAUAAGAGAAGGAGAGAAGAGUACACGUGGAUUAACGCCUAGGGGGGUGAUGGACACGUGGUUGACCGUACAGAAUCCAAGUAGGAAGAGCACGUGCGGCUUUUUAACGCGUUAGUGAAAGGUUCGUUAUUCGAUACUCUUUUUACUUUCUAUUAUAAAAAAAAUUCAUUCGUUAAUAGCUUAGCUCAUAUAUAUUCUUAUCGUAAUAGAUUCAAAUAUACCUUUAUUUGUUUGAGCCGUAUUUAGCUGUGAUCUUGAUCAAUCAACAUUCAUAAUUCGUGUAUCAUUUCAUUGUGAGUCUCGCCUAAAAGGAGACACUAAGGGGAAGGUAUGACGUUAAAUCAACCUCGUGUUUUAUGUUUGGAACCCUUUAGUUGAUCGCACCAAUUGUAAAUACAAUUUGACUUCUAAAAUAAAA